CAAAAGGAGAAUGCGCAGAUCCGGAAAUGAGUUCCCUCCGAUCCCCUUCAUCGACUACCGGUAUUCCCACGGCAUGUAGCACACUGUUUCAACAUACUAUGUAACAAGAAAGUGUCAAAACUGUUUUCUACUGAAGAGGACCACAGUCAGAUGAGUUCAGCUUCAGUGAUGUACCUGUUGGCUUUUAUCGCAAUGUGUCUGGGUGCAGCAUCGGCUAAUCUCAGUGACGAUGUGUCUCUUGUGGUCACCACGGCCAGCGGUAAGGUGCGAGGAACGGUACAGUACACAAACGACCUGCCGGACAAACCUGUCUACACCUUCAAGGGCAUCCCGUACGCAGCGCCCCCUGUCGGAGACCUGCGGUUCCGCGCCCCUCAGCCUGCUGCUCCAUGGGAAGGAGUGAUGGAUGCUACUGAACUGGGCCCCUACUGUCCUCAGGACGAGGCAAUAUUGAAAGGGUUUCCCGUUCACUAUCAUCGCGCCACUUUUCACGAAGACUGUCUAACCUUAAACAUCGAAACGCCGUCACUUCGAAACGACGUAAUUCUGCCGGUUCUGUUGUGGAUCCAUGGGGGUGGCCUGAUCGCGGGUGCAGGCGGGAUGUGGCCCUACGCGUCACUGGCCGCUCAUCAGGACGUGGUGGUCGUGACCAUCAACUACCGCCUCGGGCCGCUGGGCUUCCUCAGCACUGGGGAUGAGAACGCUCCUGGGAACUUCGGCCUCCUGGACCAGGUCCAGGCUAUGCGAUGGAUCAAAGAAAACAUCAGAAACUUCGGAGGAGAUCUGGACCGGGUUACGAUCUUUGGCGAGUCAGCUGGUGGAGCAAGUGUCUGUUACCACGUGGUGUCUCCUCUCAGCAAGGGUCUGUUCCAUCACGCAAUAUCCCAGAGCGGGGUCUGUCAGACCCUUGAUAUCAAUCCGAAGCCACUGGAGAGAGCGGCGAUGUUUGCAGAAGACCUCGGCUGUGACACCGAAGAUACAACAAGCAUGGUGACCUGCCUCAGACAGAAGUCGUCUGAUGAUCUACUUGCCAGUCAUGGACGCCUGCAGAUGGACCUCAUGUCUCAGGGGGUGCUCUUCCCGUUUCUACCCGUGGUUGACGGGACGUACCUGCCAAGUCAUCCCAAGGAUCGUCUCGAAAAGGGCGAAGUAAACGUGGCACAAUACCUUCUAGGCGCCAAUGAUGACGAGUACGGAUUUCAGAUUCCUUUGGCGACAAUUCCAAACUUCGGGAAUGGAAUGUCAGAAGAGGAAUUUAUCUACCUUUUAGAAAUGCUUGUGAAGAAGCUUUAUCCUACUUCCAAGCAGGGCGACAUCAUCGCUGCCCUUCGUGAAGUGUACAGUUACCAUGACAACGCUGAUGAUCCAAUGGCCAUACAGAAGCAGUUCACACAGGUGUAUGGAGACCAGUUUUUGGUCGCUCCUACUGUUUUUGUUGCGGAGAAAUAUGCAGGCCAUGGCCAAGUCUACCUCUACGAGAACCGGUACGUCUCAUCUGUGGCAUCUGCUGGCCGGCCGGACUGGGUUGGAUGUGACCACACUGACGAACUCCCGAUCAUUUCCGGCCUGGCCUUUCUAGACCUGCCUGUGUCUGACGAUAAUCAGCGUCCAUAUGCAUUUUCCGACGAAGAUAAGAAGACAAGUCUGGACAUGAUGGCGUAUUGGGCCAACUUUGCACGAACUGGGAACCCGUCAGACCGUACCAGUGGCCCAGCUGACAGCCCCACGGUACCAGAGUGGCCCCAGUACACACCUGACAACCCCGCCUACAUGAAGCUGGACCUGACGUCUUCUAGUGACAUAGGUCUUAAGCCUAAAAGGAUGAAACUGUGGAAUGACGUCAUCCCCAAGCUUGCAGCAUCAUCAAGGAAGGAAGAGCUAUAAUAGUUAUCUAACGUUAAUAUUUUUUUUUUUUCAGAACAGGUCUAUUGUCUAUUGUAUGUAAUAACAUUAAGCAUCAGGAAACACAAAACAGUAGACUACAACAGGUUUAAGCAUAUAAAUAUGUGCAGCAGUAUCUCUUAACUUUUAGCAUGUGGAAUAACGCAUUUGAAAUGAAUUAAUAGUUAACAUAUUGAAGGGAAUCAAGGGUCAAUUGGUAUUGAAAGUUACAUGGCAACAUAGAUUUGCAAACUAAGUUACAGAAAUAAACUCAAGAAUCACGGUUACCAAACCCACACAAGUAAUAAUUGAUCGAGUUCAUGAUCAGAUGCAAAUAUGCCUAUUUGAAGAGUCACUAUAUCUUUGUUUUGUGUGUAGCGCGACAUGAAUAUUGUGGCCAUAGUCACAUAGAUAUCUAUCUACGUUGAUUCGUCACACCUUUGAGCAAUGAUGCCUAGUGUGGUCGCCAAUAAAGAGAUUUACCCAAGCUUCACUUCGUCCAGGUUACUCGACCCCCUCGUCACAUAGCGGGAUAACCUAUGAACUGGUGACCUAUUGACCCCGCUGUUCAUUCAUUCAUCGGCUGCCCACGGCAUUUAGCACAUGGUUCAACCUAACACGUUUUAAACAGGAGAGUCUCAAAACGGUUUUGUACUGAAGAGGACCACAGUCAUAUGAAUGCAGUGAUGUACCUGUUGACUUUAAUGGCGAUGUGCCUGGGUGCCGUAUCGUCUAAUGUCAGUGACGAUAUUUCCCCUGUGGUCACCACGGCCAGCGGCAAGGUGCGAGGAACGGUGCAGUACACAAACGACCUGCCGGACAAACCUGUCUACACCUUCAAGGGCAUCCCGUACGCAGCGCCCCCUGUCGGAGACCUGCG